CUGGGGGACAUGUACCCUGCUCCUCAGGGCUGAUCGCCCAGCGGGUGGGAAGCUCCUCUCUGCGGCCAGCACCUCUCAGGCUCGGGGCUCUGGGGACCACGUGCCUCUUUCCCUGGGACAACAUGGUUCGUGCUUGUGAUUUUUUAGGGUCAUUAUUCAUCCCCUUUGUCUCUCAAAAGUCUGGACAAUAAAUUCCACAGUGGCUGUUUGUUUUUUCUCGUAAUCGCUGGAGUUGGCCUUCCCUUGGCCAAGGGCGCCCGCGUAGGGCCAGGAACGCGCAUUUGCCCUGGAUUCUUGCUCCAGCUCUGCUGCCCAGCCCAGUAAGGACCUGGACGUCGCUGGCCUGCCCUUCCUGCUUCCCCAGAUGCUCCGUGUGGGAACGUCGUCAUCUGCUGCAGGGCACCGCUCCGGGUCCUUCUGCCUCCCCCAGGCCCGGCACCUGGGAGGCGCUUGGCUGAGAAGUGCCACUCCAGCCCCUGUAUCUCAUGGGGCUCCCGCCACUCCAGCCCCUGGGCCAGGGGCCCAGGGCGCAUCCGCCCAAGUGUCCCCAAGGCCUCGCCCACUCACUUCCCCGGCCCCCCAGCCAAGGUGGAAGAGAAGGCCCUGGGCACACACCUUGGCUCGAUUCCAGUUGCUCUAGACUGUUUCCCGAACCUCUGUGAGCACCUGCUUCUUCAGAGAUUGGGCAAGACAGUUUCCCAAACCACUGCCAGAUCCAGCCAGGUUUCUGGCCUCAGGCGCCAGAUUGUAAUGGGUUUACAGGACACGAAGACCUCAGUUUGGAUCCUGGUUCUGCCUCUUCAUAACUGCGUGACCUCAGGCAACUCACUUAACCUCUCUGGGCCACCAUUUUCUCAAGUGAACAUUGAGAAAUCCGUGGGGAGGCGUCGAUGAGAUAGGUAUGUGAAGCAUCUGUGCAGGUUUGGGGGACCGAGAGGAC
rnacentral:lncRNA from 1 species